rnacentral:rRNA from 1 species
CGUAGGCAGCGAGCGUUGUUCGGAGUUACUGGGCGUAAAGGGUGUGUAGGCGGUCGUUUAAGUUUGGUGUGAAAUCUCCCGGCUCAACCGGGAGGGUGCGCCGAAUACUGAAUGACUUGGAGUGCGGGAGAGGUGAGUGGAAUUCCUGGUGUAGCGGUGAAAUGCGUAGAUAUCAGGAGGAACACCGGUGGUGUAGACGGCUCACUGGACCGUAACUGACGCUGAGACACGAAAGCGUGGGUAGCAAACAGGAUUAGAUACCCUGGUAGUCCACGCCCUAAACGAUGCAUAUUUGGUGUGGGCAGUUCAUUCUGUCCGUGCCGAAGCUAACGCUAAUUAAGCAUUCCGCCGUGGGGAGUACGGUCGCAAGGCUG